UACAGAGGUCUCAAGCGUUGUUCGGAAUCACUGGGCGUAAAGGGUGCGUAGGCGGCAUGGUAAGUCAGAGGUGAAAUCCCGGAGCUCAACUUCGGAAUUGCCUCCGAUACUGCCAUGCUUGAGGACUGGAGAGGAGAUUGGAAUUCACAGUGGAGCAGUGAAAUGCGUAGAUAUUGUGAGGAACACUAGUGGCGAAGGCGAAUUUCUGGACAGUUCCUGACGCUGAGGCACGAAGGCCAGGGGAGCAAACGGG
rnacentral:rRNA from 1 species